UUCCUUCUUCCUCCCGCGCGCAACCCCUUUCCCCUUCAUUUUUUUUUUCUUCUAUUUCCUCCUUCACCGUGCCCUACCUCCAGCCGCACCCUCCAACCGUCGCUCUCCUCCUUCUUUUCUUCUCCGAUCCACGGCCGCCGCCCCUAUUCUUCUUCCGUUUCUCUUUCUUUUCCACCAUACCCAGCCGCCGCUGCAACCGUCGGCCGCCGUCUCUGUUCGCGAAGCAAGGCCGCCGCGUGACUUUCCGCCCAGCGCCGUUUGACUCUCUGCCCAGCGCCGCGCACCUCUGUCUCCGCGCCGUUGCUCUGUCUCCGUCGAAGCCAAGCCCAGCCGCCGUCUCUAUCUUCGUUCGCGAAGCAAACCGCACGCCUCAUUCACGAACAGCCUCGCCGACGCAGGUCACGCCGCAUCGCACGAGUUCGGCUACAUUGCCGGGCUACUCCCGUCCGCGCGUAACUGCUGUUGAACGUCCGAACCAUUCUGCCUUCGUCAGUACCCGCUGUCCCAUUUACGAAUCGCGGACCGAUUCGCGUGCAGAUUUGUUUUGCACGAUUUCUUUUGUGUAGAUCAUGCCACAACUUCUAUUUUAACGUCGAUUGUCAAAGUCUUGUUAUAAGUUAUUGGCGACAUCGGUGAUUUGGAGUUAGUGUCCUUAAGUUACGCCUUAAGCUUUGUUGGAGUUCGAUUCUUUACUCUUUGGGGUACCAAGGAAUUUUACAUAAAAUCGAGCAAAGGUAAUAAAGACGGCAAACCGGCGAGGGGCAAGAAGGAAGCGUGAUUGCCAUAGGAAAUGUGUUAUUUGCUUCCGCUUAUUGUUUUUUUUUUUGAGGUUUAAGACGUUGUAUUGAAUCUUAGCUUACAAACUUUUAUUUGUAAAUAGUAUUUUUUUUUUAAGUUUUUGAAUAUGUGAAAAUCAGGCCUGACUUAA